GACCGCUUAGCUCAGUGGUAGAGCGUGUGAUUCCAGCUUACGCAAGCGUGGCUCCACAAGGUCGUCCGUUCAAUCCGGGCAGUGGUCA